AUGAAGCCUGAAUUUUGGCCCCGUUUGCAGCUUCUCCAAAAAUUGCUCCUAGUCCUCGGGCUAAGUCUCAGCUCUUGCCGCCCUGCUCUUCAUCUGCAGCACACACGCGGCGGCGUGGCCUUCUCCAGGCACAACAGUGCUUCAAGUAAUCCUGGAAAGGUCUGGCCGGAACAGGAAUGGACUUGCCAACAUACGCGAGGGGCCAGCUGGAUUGGAAAGACAGACAGAGAGAUGGUAAUGUGGCCAUUGGAAGGAAGAAAUAAAUCACUCUUUAACAGUUCUCAGAGUGUAAUUUAUGGGUUGCCAUCAACGUGUUGGAAAAUUAAUGCCCAGAUUAAUUAA
rnacentral:rRNA from 1 species